UUCUUGGGGAAAUACGAUAGUACUCGGAGUCUUCGGACAAAGAGAUAGUGCGCCUAAGGGCUUCCAAGAAAAACCUCUAAACUUCAGGUAAUUAGUACCAGUACCGUAAACCGACACAGGUAGUUGAGGAGAGAAUCCUAAGGUGCUCGAGAGAUUCAUGGCUAAGGAAUUAGGCAAAAUAGACCUGUAACUUCGGGAGAAAGGUCGCCAGCGCAAGCUGGCCGCAGUGAAGAGGUCCAGGCGACUGUUUAUCAAAAACACAGGGCUCUGCAAAAUCGUAAGAUGAAGUAUAGGGCCUGACACCUGCCCGGUGCUGGAAGGUUAAGAGGAGAUGUUAUCUUCGGAGAAGCAUUGAAUUGAAGCCCCAGUAAACGGCGGCCGUAACAAUAACGGUCCUAAGGUAGCGAAAUUCCUUGUCGGGUAAGUUCCGACCUGCACGAAUGGUGUAACGAUCUGGACACUGUCUCAGCCAUGAGCUCGGUGAAAUUGUAGUAACGGUGAAGAUGCCGUUUACCCGCAGUGGGACGAAAAGACCCUGUGCACCUUUACUAUAGCUUAGUAUUGACCUUGGAUAAAUGAUGUGUAGGAUAGGUUGGAGACUGUGAAGUGGCGUCGCCAGGCGUUGUGGAGUCAUUGUUGAAAUACAACCCUUUGUUUAUCUGAGGCCUAACCCCGUUUUGCGGGGGACAUUGCUUGGUGGGUAGUUUGACUGGGGUGGUCGCCUCCAAAAGAGUAACGGAGGCUUCUAAAGGUUCCCUCAGUACGCUUGGUAACCGUGCGUAGAGUGCAAUGGCAUAAGGGAGCUUGACUGAGAGACAUACAGGUCGAUCAGGUACGAAAGUAGAGCAUAGUGAUCCGGUGGUUCCGCAUGGAAGGGCCAUCGCUCAAAGGAUAAAAGGUACGCCGGGGAUAACAGGCUGAUCUCCCCCAAGAGCUCAUAUCGACGGGGGGGUUUGGCACCUCGAUGCCGGCUCGUCACAUCCUGGGGCUGGAGAAGGUCCCAAGGGUUGGGCUGUUCGCCCAUUAAAGUGGCACGCGAGCUGGGUUCAGAACGUCGUGAGACAGUUCGGUCUCUAUCUACUGUGGGCGUUAGAAAUUUGAGUGGAUCUGAUUCUAGUACGAGAGGACCGAAUUGGACAAACCUCUAGUGUAUCUGUUGUCCCGCCAGGGGCACCGCAGAGUAGCUACGUUUGGAAGGGAUAAGCGCUGAAAGCAUAUAAGCGCGAAACCCACCACAAGAUGAGAUUUCUUUUAAGGAUCGUGGAAGAUGACCACGUUGAUAGGCUAUAGAUGUAAAGGCAGUAAUGUCAUAGUCGAGUAGUACUAAUAAUCCGAAAAA
rnacentral:rRNA from 1 species